UUAGAUCGGAAGCGAGAAUGUUGACAUGAGUAGCGACAAACAGGGUGAGAAACCCUGUCGCCGAAAGUCCAAGGGUUCCUGCUUAAAGCUAAUCUGAGCAGGGUAAGCCGGCCCCUAAGGCGAGGCCGAAAGGCGUAGUCGAUGGGAACCAGGUUAAUAUUCCUGGGCCAGUGGGAUGUGACGGAUCGCAGAUGUAGUUUGCCCUUAUCGGAUUGGGUGGGCUGCUGAGCGGUUCCUGGAAAUAGCCCCACAUCAGACCGUACCCUAAACCGACACAGGUGGACUGGUAGAGUAUACCAAGGCGCUUGAGAGAACCACGUUAAAGGAACUCGGCAAAAUGCCUCCGUAAGUUCGCGAGAAGGAGGCCCCAUAUGUGCGCAAGCAUGUGUGGGGGGCACAAACUAGGGGGUGGCGACUGUUUACUUAAAACACAGGGCUGUGCGAAGCCGUAAGGCGACGUAUACAGUCUGGCGCCUGCCCGGUGCUGGAAGAUUAAGAGGAGGGGUGCAAGCUCUGAAUUGAAGUCCCAGUAAACGGCGGCCGUAACAAUAACGGUCCUAAGGUAGCGAAAUUCCUUGUCGGGUAAGUUCCGACCUGCACGAAUGGCGUAACGAUCUCCCCGCUGUCUCUAACGUGGACUCAGCGAAGUUGAACUGUCUGUCAAGAUGCAGACUACCCGCGGUUAGACGGAAAGACCCCAUGAACCUUUACUCCAGCUUUGCAUUGGCAACAGGACUGUGAUGUGCAGGAUAGGUGGUAGGCAUUGAAGCGGGGACGCCAGUCUUCGUGGAGCCUCCCUUGAGAUACCACCCUUCGCCGUCUUGUUGUCUAACCGCGACCCGUUAUCCGGGCCCGGGACCGUGCAUGGUGGGGAGUUUGACUGGGGCGGUCGCCUCCCAAAUUGUAACGGAGGCGCGCGAUGGUUGGCUCAGACCGGUCGGAAAUCGGUCGUUGAGUGCAAUGGCAGAAGCCAGCCUGACUGCAGGACUGACAAGUCGAGCAGAGACGAAAGUCGGUCAUAGUGAUCCGGUGGUCCCAAGUGGGAGGGCCAUCGCUCAACGGAUAAAAGGUACUCUGGGGAUAACAGGCUGAUGAUGCCCAAGAGUCCAUAUCGACGGCAUCGUUUGGCACCUCGAUGUCGGCUCAUCUCAUCCUGGGGCUGGAGCAGGUCCCAAGGGUACGGCUGUUCGCCGUUUAAAGAGGUACGUGAGCUGGGUUUAGAGCGUCGUGAGACAGUUCGGUCCCUAUCUGCCGUGGGUGCAGGAGACUUGAGAAGAGUUGACCCUAGUACGAGAGGACCGGGUUGAACGAACCACUGGUGGACCAGUUAUCGUGCCAACGGUAGUGCUGGGUAGCUAUGUUCGGACAGGAUAACCGCUGAAGGCAUCUAAGCGGGAAGCCCCCUUCAAAACAAGGUCUCCCUUGAGGGCCGUGGAAGACGACCACGUCGAUAGGCCAGAGACGUAAGCGCAGCAAUGCGUUCAGCUGACUGGUACUAAUUGCCCGA
rnacentral:rRNA from 1 species